UAGAAAUGUGCUACAACCACUCGAGGUCUGCAAUCAGAUUCCUAUUUAGAUGUUGUUGAGAG
rnacentral:lncRNA from 1 species